GACGAACGCUGGCGGCGUGCUUAACACAUGCAAGUCGAACGGUAAGGCCCUUCGGGGUACACGAGUGGCGAACGGGUGAGUAACACGUGGGUGAUCUGCCCUGCACUUCGGGAUAAGCCGGGGAAACUGGGUCUAAUACCGGAUAGGACCACUGCAUGCAUGGGUGGUGGGGGAAAGGUUUGUCGGGUGUGGGAUGGGCCCGCGGCCUAGCAGCUUGUUGGUGGGGUGAUGGGAUACCAAGGCGAUGACGGGUAGCCGGCCGGAGAGGGUGACCGGCCACACUGGGACUGAGAUACGGCCCAGACUCCUACGGGAGGCAGCAGUGGGGAAUAUUGCACAAUGGGCGCAAGCCUGAUGCAGCGACGCCGCGUGAGGGAUGACGGCCUUCGGGUUGUAAACCUCUUUCAGCACCGACGAAGCGCAAGUGACGGUAGGUGCAGAAGAAGGACCGGCCAACUACGUGCCAGCCGCCGCUGUAA
rnacentral:rRNA from 1 species